GGUACCAAACUAGUGAUACAAUAUUGACAAGCUUUAUGGAUAAUAACUUCUUAUAUUUCAUGAGUGUGAAGUUUCAAUACAGAUUCCUUGGCGAUCCAGAUUUGGACUAGUUGGAUUCUAUGCCCACAGUUCACAUCACUGUUAAGAAGCACGUACACCUGAGCGUUAAUGUGUAAAAUGGUUUGAGUUUGUGCCCUUAAAAUGAAGUAUUACAUCUAUUAAAAUGUUCAGUGUUGAACAUAAACGGAUAAAUGAGUUGUAUGUAAUAAGCCAUACACCGGGUUGAACUUAAUUGAAAUUAAAGAGACCAUGCCUCAACUGUUUCAAGAGGAAUUGAAAGUGAUGUAAUUGACGCGAAUAUAUGUGCACAUUCAGAACAUGAGGACUAAAUGACCCUGGGAAUGUUUGUUGUCAUACAACAGGUCUCCCUCAUUGUGUAAUAACAUCGCGUGAUGACGGGCGUAUGACGUCAUAAUGGUUUACAGUUAUGACGUCACAAUGCUAAUACCUCUGUCACAAUGGUAUUAGUCAUUGCUUGACUCGCGGAAAGCUGAGAGUGUGAAGGCAAUUUCGCCGCAGUUUCUAUCAAUGUAUGUUGGAGAGCAAUAAACAGAAUACUAAACUCGCUUCCGUGCAAUACCAUUUUUAUUAAGCUCGUGAAAGAUGAUUAACUCGUUUAAUAAAAAUGGCAUAACACGGAAGCUGUUAAGUAUCCUCUGUACAUUACUCACCCGUUGUAGAUAUCACUGUUUGAUAAUUUUACAAUGUUAUUGCACAUUGUUUAUUACACAUUGUGUAAUAACAUCGCGUGA